rnacentral:rRNA from 1 species
UACGUAGGGUGCAAGCGUUGUCCGGAAUUAUUGGGCGUAAAGAGCUCGUAGGCGGUCUGUCGCGUCGGCUGUGAAAACCCGGGGCUCAACCCCGGGCCUGCAGUCGAUACGGGCAGACUAGAGUGCAGUAGGGGAGACUGGAAUUCCUGGUGUAGCGGUGGAAUGCGCAGAUAUCAGGAGGAACACCGGUGGCGAAGGCGGGUCUCUGGGCUGUAACUGACGCUGAGGAGCGAAAGCGUGGGUAGCGAACAGG